GAUGAACGCUGGCGGCGUGCCUAACACAUGCAAGUCGAACGGGGUUAAGGGAAGUUUUCGGAUGGAACUUAACUUAGUGGCGGACGGGUGAGUAACGCGUGGAUAACCUGCCUCGCACUGGGGGAUAGCAGCUGGAAACGGCUGGUAAUACCGCAUAAGACCACGGUGCCGCAUGGCAUCGGGGUAAAAGAUUUAUCGGUGCGAGAUGGAUCCGCGUCUGAUUAGCCAGUUGGCGGGGUAACGGCCCACCAAAGCGACGAUCAGUAGCCGGCCUGAGAGGGUGAACGGCCACAUUGGGACUGAGACACGGCCCAAACUCC
rnacentral:rRNA from 1 species